rnacentral:rRNA from 1 species
ACUCCUACGGGAGGCAGCAGUGGGGAAUAUUGCACAAUGGGCGCAAGCCUGAUGCAGCCAUGCCGCGUGUGUGAAGAAGGCCUUCGGGUUGUAAAGCACUUUCAGUCGUGAGGAAGGUAGUGUAGUUAAUAGCUGCAUUAUUUGUACGUUAGCGACAGAAGAAGCACCGGCUAACUCCGUGCCAGCAGCCGCGGUAAUACGGAGGGUGCGAGCGUUAAUCGGAAUUACUGGGCGUAAAGCGCAUGCAGGUGGUUUGUUAAGUCAGAUGUGAAAGCCCGGGGCUCAACCUCGGAAUAGCAUUUGAAACUGGCAGACUAGAGUACUGUAGAGGGGGUUAGAAUUUCAGGUGUAGCGGUGAAAUGCGUAGAGAUCUGAAGGAAUACCGGUGGCGAAGGCGGCCCCUGGACAGAUACUGACACUCAGAUGCGAAAGCGUGGGAGCAAACGAGGAUUAGAUACCCCUGGUAGACUGUCA